rnacentral:rRNA from 1 species
UACAGAGGUCCCGAGCGUUGUUCGGAUUCACUGGGCGUAAAGGGUGCGUAGGUGGCUUGGUAAGUUUGAUGUGAAAGCUCAGGGCUCAACCCUGAAAUGGCAUUGAAUACUACUGAGCUGGAGGUUUGGAGGGGGGACUGGAAUUCUCGGUGUAGCAGUGAAAUGCGUAGAUAUCGAGAAGAACGCUCGCAGCGAAGGCGAAGCUCUGGGCAAAUUCUGACGCUGAUGCACGAAGGCUAGGGGAGCAAACGGG